rnacentral:lncRNA from 10 species
UGCUCUGUCACCAGGCUGGAGUGGAGUGGCACCAUCUCGGCUCACUAACCUUGCCUUCCGGAUUCUCCUGCCUCAGGCUCCCGAGUAGCUGGGAUUUCAGGCACGCACCACCACGCCCAGCUAAAUUUUUUUUUGUAUUUUUAGUAGAGAUGGGGUUUCACCAUGUUGGCCAGGAUGGUCUUGAUCUCUUGACCUCGUGAUCUGCCCACCUUGGCCUCCCAAAGUGCUGGGAUUACAGGCGUGAGCCACCGCACCUGGCCCAGUUGAAUGGUAUUUCUAAUCAGGUUUACUGUUGUGGAGGAAGAAGAGAAAAGUUAGCAACUAGAAUUUUGGCUAAACUUCUAAUUCAGAAUGAUGUCAGAAGUUAGAGGCAUAGUUGAGUGGUGACGGUAGGUAAUAUUUUACAAGUACAGGUUAUAUGAACUACAUAUGCAAAUCACUUGUAGAGAAAAGCUGC